UACGUAGGGUGCGAGCGUUGUCCGGAAUUACUGGGCGUAAAGAGCUCGUAGGUGGUUUGUCGCGUUGUCCGUGAAAACUCACAACUCAAUUGUGGGCGUGCGGGCGAUACGGGGCAGACUGGAGUACUGCAGGGGAGACUGGAAUUCCUGGUGUAGCGGUGGAAUGCGCAGAUAUCAGGAGGAACACCGGUGGCGAAGGCGGGUCUCUGGGCAGUGAACUGACGCUGGAGGAGCGAAAGCGUGGGGAGCGAACAGGA
rnacentral:rRNA from 1 species